UACAGGGGGUGCAAACGUUGCUCGGAAUUAUUGGGCGUAAAGCGCGCGUAGGCGGCCACUUAAGUCGGAUGUGAAAGCCCUUGGCUCAACUGAGGAAGUGCACCCGAAACUGAAUGGCUUGAGUACUAAAGAGGGUCGCGGAAUUCCCGGUGUAGAGGUGAAAUUCGUAGAUAUCGGGAGGAACACCGGUGGCGAAGGCGGCGACCUGGGUAGAUACUGACGCUGAGGAGCGAAAGCGUGGGGAGCGAACAGG
rnacentral:rRNA from 1 species